rnacentral:rRNA from 1 species
CCAAUAGCGUAUAUUAAAGUUGUUGCAGUUAAAAAGCUCGUAGUUGAAUUUCGGGAUUGGCGUGUCGGUCGUGCCUUAAGGGGUAUGAACUGGCGUCGUCGAUUUCUCACCUUCUGGAGAAACGCGAUGCCCUUAAUUGGGUGUCGUGCGGAACCAGGACCUUUACCUUGAAAAAAUUAGAGUGUUUAAAGCAGGCAUUUUGCUCGAAUACAUUAGCAUGGAAUAAUAAAAUAGGACGGUUGGUUCUAUUUUGUUGGUUUCUAGGAUCACCGUAAUGAUUAAUAGGGAUAGUUGGGGGCAUUAGUAUUCAAUUGUCAGAGGUGAAAUUCUUGGAUUUAUUGAAGACUAACUACUGCGAAAGCAUUUGCCAAGGAUGUUUUCAUUAAUCAAGAACGAAAGUUAGGGGAUCGAAGACGAUCAGAUACCGUCGUAGUCUUAACCAUAAACUAUGCCGACUAGGAAUCAGACGAUGUUAAUUUUUUAAUGACUCGUUUGGCACCUUACG